CCUACGGGCGGCUGCAGUGGGGAAUUUUGCGCAAUGGGCGGAAGCCUGACGCAGCAACGCCGCGUGGAGGAUGAAGGCCUUCGGGUCGUAAACUCCUGUCAGUGGGGACGAAUGCCUCGCAAGAGGUUUGACUGUACCCGUUGAGGAAGCCACGGCUAACUCCGUGCCAGCAGCCGCGGUAAUACGGAGGUGGCAAGCGUUGUUCGGAAUUACUGGGCGUAAAGGGCGCGUAGGCGGCUAGGCAAGUCAGGUGUGAAAGCCCCGGGCUUAACUCGGGAAUUGCACCUGAAACUGCCUUGCUUGAGUCCUGGAGGGGGUAGCGGAAUUCCCAGUGUAGCGGUGAAAUGCGUAGAUAUUGGGAGGAACACCUGCGGCGAAGGCGGCUACCUGGACAGUGACUGACGCUGAGGCGCGAAAGCUAGGGUAGCGAACGGGCUUAGAUACCCCAGUAGUC
rnacentral:rRNA from 1 species